rnacentral:rRNA from 1 species
GAUGAACGCUGGCGGCGUGCCUAAUACAUGCAAGUCGAGCGAACAGACGAGGAGCUUACUCCUCUGACGUUAUCGGCGGACGGGUGAGUAACACGUGGAUAACCUACCUAUCAGACUGGGAUAACUUCGGGAAACCGGAGCUAAUACCGGAUAAUAUAUUGAACCGCAUGGUUCAAUAGUGAAAGACGGUUUUGCUGUCACUUAUAGAUUGAUCCGCGCCGCAUUAGCUAGUUGGUAAGGUAACGGCUUACCAAGGCAACGAUGCGUAGCCGACCUGAGAGGGUGAUCGGCCACACUGGAACUGAGACACGGUCCAGACUCCUACGGGAGGCAGCAGUAGGGAAUCUUCCGCAAUGGGCGAAAGCCUGACGGAGCAACGCCGCGUGAGUGAUGAAGGUCUUCGGAUCGUAAAACUCUGUUAUUAGGGAAGAACAAAUGUGUAAGUAACUAUGCACGUCUUGACGGUACCUAAUCAGGAAGCCACGGCUAACUACGUG